GUCUACGUUUCCCAGUGGUUUCCCUGCGUUUCUGGAUGUUCCUGUUCGUGGUUCCUUUUUCCUUCCUGUUUUGCCUUUCUACUUCUCACCUGCCGGUGCAUCCUCGUGGUUGACUGCACUGGAUCAAUGCACUGGGUCAAUGCACUUUUGCUCAUCGCCAUCCUGAGUUUUUGAAAUCAAGCCAGCACUCCCAGG